rnacentral:rRNA from 1 species
AGAGUUUGAUCCUGGCUCAGAAUCAACGCUGGCGGCGUGCCUAACACAUGCAAGUCGAACGAGAAAGUGGAGCAAUCCAUGAGUAAAGUGGCGACCGGGUGAGUAACACGUGACUAACCUACCUUCGAGUGGGGGAUAACCUCGGGAAACCGAGGCUAAUACCGCAUAACAUCGCAAGAUCAAAGCAGCAAUGCGCUUGAAGAGGGGGUCGCGGCUGAUUAGCCAGUUGGCGGGGUAACGGCCCACCAAAGCGAAGAUCGGUAGCCGGCCUGAGAGGGCGCACGGCCACACUGGAACUGAAACACGGUCCAGACUCCUACGGGAGGCAGCAGUGGGGAAUUUUGCGCAAUGGGGGAAACCCUGACGCAGCAACGCCGCGUGGAGGAUGAAGCCCCUUGGGGCGUAAACUCCUUCGACCAAGACGA